GACGAACGCUGGCGGCGCGCUUAACACAUGCAAGUCGAGCGAGAACCGGGGCUUCGGCCCCGGGGACAGCGGCGAACGGGUGAGUAACACGUGGGUAACCUGCCCUCGGCACCGGAAUAGCCCGGGGAAACUCGGAUUAAUGCCGGAUGGCCCCUCAGCCCUGCGGGGCGGUGGGAAAAGGUAGCUUCGGCCUCCGGCCGAGGAUGGGCCCGCGGCGGAUUAGCUCGUUGGUGGGGUAACGGCCUACCAAAGCACCGAUCCGUAGCUGGUCUGAGAGGACGAUCAGCCACACUGGGACUGAGACACGGCCCAGACUCCUACGGGAGGCAGCAGUGGGGAAUCUUGCGCAAUGGGCGAAAGCCUGACGCAGCGACGCCGCGUGAGGGAAGAAGGCCUUCGGGUUGUAAACCUCUUUCAGGAGGGACGAAGCCACUCGGGUGAAUAGCCCAGAGGGUGACGGUACCUCCAGAAGAAGCCCCGGCUAACUACGUGCCAGCCGCCGCCGUAAGAC
rnacentral:rRNA from 1 species